rnacentral:snoRNA from 1 species
AGCUCAUGGUGUGGACAUCUUUUAAGCAAAUCUUUAAAUCAUUGCCACACCUCAUACAAGGAUUCACCAUGAAAUUGUGUGAAUGAAGUUAUAUCAUUCCUUAACUU